AUCAUGUUCUUGAUAAUCCUCUUUUUUUUCCGUUUUCUGUAGUUAUUUAAGUUAUUUAAGUUAUUAACUGGCCAAUCAGAUGAAUCAAUAAAAGUAGGUGGCGCCCGCUGGCCCCCCACAUCCAACAAUCAAAUCGUUUGAUUGCCAGUUUUCUUGUAAGCUGCUUCAAGCUCACUCCUGAUCUGUGAGAGUGGUUGUCAUAGAGACGUUGACUUACACAAAACUCGGACGAAUCCCUGCUUACGGACGAUGUCUGGCUCCAACAUAACAGCGUCAAAAACGGCGACCGAAUGGACUGCAUUUGGUCAUUUUCGAUGGGUGACAUCACACUCACUGGGUCCUGUUCUCAUAUACAGUCAAUGGUCAAAACCUGGAACUUAGAAAUUCGUGUUGUCCCUGCUGAAGACACAGCCAAUCACCAGUCAAAGCAGGUUCCUUUAGGGCAGUCAUGAUAACAUGGGUUGUGGAAUUGCAUUUCAUGAGUUGAAUGCUAAAAAAAUGCAAAUGUUGGAACAAAUGGAGAUGAAGUCUUUCAUGAAUGAUGAAAUGAAACUCCUGUUUGUUAUUGCAAACUGAAGCUCAGCAAACAGGUUUUUCAGGGGUUCUGCAGAGUCUGGCUCCAACCUGAUGUGGAUCCCUUGGGUGGGGGGGUCCUGAGGAUCCACUUCCUGUGGGAUCGAUGCACUUUGCUCAGAUUUUUGUGAAGAUUUUCUGAUGAUUGCAGCAAUUGAACAUUUUCGACUGGCAUUGUAACACCUGAAUACUCCAUUGAAACAUAAAGAGGAGUGCUAUUCCGCUCAUCUGUCCGUCGUUUCAGCAGUGUUGCUUUUUCUUCCAGCUACGUUCCCCCCCUUUGUUCUACUGUCAGACACCAGCUGCACCUCUCAGCUUAUUAUCACGGAAAGCAACGCUACUGAACAUGAAAUAAAUGGAGAAAUGUUUUCUGUACUACGCGUUUGUCUUCAUUUUAUCAAGCGUUACUGUCCACAGCUUGUGAUGAUUCGAUGUCAGCAAGGAGGGGGCUCAGAAACAGCCGUCAUCGCAGGUUAACCUGACAUGUUGCAUCAAGCUUGAGGUGACUGGGUGUUGUACUUCAAAAAUCAAUACAAACACACUGGAACCCUUUUUGUAAAAAAAAAUGUGCCAUGCUUUUGAAACUGCCUGUUUUUUACUGUAGGACUAAAGCUCUCAGCAGAAUGUCCUCCUGGUUAAAGACACAAUAUUUUCUCUGGACCUUCUUACUUUGGGCUUUACAUCAGUCCAGUUGCAAAACAUUUUUUUUAUUUUUACAAAUAUUGAUCACAUAUUAGACAUAUUUGUUUUUAAGGAUUAGUAUAGAAAAAAAUCAUAAAAAAAACUUUGCCUAGAAUAUUGUUCAAAUGUGAUAAAAAAUGAUCAAAAUCUAAGAUUUGUCAAAAUAAAAAGACAUAUCUGCUGAAGUCUACUUCACUUGAUGGUACCAUCUGGUUUCUGAAGGACCCAGCUGACUGGUGGACUUUAGUAAAGCCUUCUUUCUUGCCUUUUUAUCUAAAUUAAAUAAAAAACGGAAUUGUUCAGGAUUUAAAGGCAGUGUGUAUGGAAGCAUUUGCUCUCAGCUGUUUCUUUGGGUGUUUCCCGACUGGAAAAGUCUGUUUGUCCAAACCAAGUCUGCUUUAUCUGGUCCGGAUCAAGUCCUGAACCUUGCGCUUGGUCUGCAUUCAGUCUGCCGUCAAUCGGACUAUUCUGUUACGAACCAGAGCUUGUAAACGAAAGCAUGUGACUUAAGAUCUCUUCAGUCUUUGCUGUUGCUAUGGCUACACCAAUAACAGAACUCCGGAAAUUUCUUUAUCCUUAUAUGUUGCUGUUGCUUGAAGGGCGAGAGGCGCCGACAACCCCAAAGCGGGGUUAGGCGGGCGGCCGGGCAGGAAGGCUGCAGGGCCUUUCAGUGUGCAGCACAAAAUAAACAAGGGAACCGGAAAGCAAAAGCUGAAUCAAGCUGUAGCGUCAAGCAUCUGUCAGAGGGGAGAAAUCCCAAAAAGAUGCAGCAAAGAAGGAAAUCUUACAAACCUGGACGCUCAUCUUUCUUUCUGCCUUCCUGGGGAGGAAAAAGAAAGAAAGGAUGAUCUCGAAAAGAACAAGGGAGGAAAAUACGUAGAGAAAAGGAAGAGAAGGCGGAAGAAAGAGAGAGAACAGAACAGAGCGAGUCAUCUUGAGACUGCCAUCAUUGUCUAACCCAACACCUCCUGACAGUCUUCACACUUUGAAAUGAAAAACUUGCUUUUAUUCUCCGAAGACGCCCACUGGGAGCAGAUCCACGUCCCAGGCCAUAGCAGCUUUUAGGCUCUACGGUGAGAAUGAGUCCGCUGUCAGCCACAGGGACGUUUUAGGAUCCUCUUUUAAUAAAAUCACCAAGAUAACGUAGAAUAUAUCUGGAAGGUUGGGUUGACAUACUGAAGAGGGGUGAUUAUUUCAGCCUUCCAACCCAGGGAAGAAGUCAUUAACCUAAAUCUGAAGGUGUGAUAAAAAAGAAGAGACUUUGAAGUUGCACAUAAAUAACUGGCGUGGAUUAAUCCUGGAUGUUUGUGUUCAUGUUGGGCAGGAGCGUGCUGGAAACUGCUGGUUCUUCUAUCCUAUUCAAUCGGAUUCUUUUCAUUGGACUGUUCUAAAGCGACGGUUGAACAGUCCAUGUGGUCUCCUGUCCUGGCUUCCUGUCUGAAGUGAGAGGACCCUCCCGAU